rnacentral:rRNA from 1 species
AUGGUUAGGAGUGUACCGAUUGGUGAGAAGCUCUUCAUAGGAGGAGACCUCAAUGGCCACGUGGGUACAUCUAACACAGGUUUUGAAGGGGCGCAUGAGGGCUUUGGCUAUGGCAUCAGGAAUCAAGAAGGAGAAGAUGUCUUAAGCUUUGCUCUAGCCUACAACAUGAUUGUAGCUAACACCCUCUUUAGAAAGAGAGAAUCACAUCUGGUAACUUUUAGUAGUGGCCAACACUCUAGCCAGAUUGAUUUCAUCCUCUCGAGAAGAGAAGAUAGGCGUGCGUGCCUAGACUGUAAGGUGAUACCUGGGGAGAGUGUUGUCCCCCAGCAUAAGCUGGUGGUUGCUGACUUCCGCUUUCGGAUUCGUGUCCAGCGGGAUAAGCGUGCCAAGGUCGCUAGAACGAAGUGGUGGAAGCUCAAGGGGGAGGUAGCUCAGGUGUUCAAGGAGAGGGUAUUUAAGGAGGGCCCUUGGGAGGAAGGAGGGGAUGCGGACAAUGUGUGGAUGAAGAUGGCGACUUGCAUUCGUAAGGUGGCCUCGGAGGAGUUUGGAGUGUCCAGGGGAAGGAGAAGCGAAGAUAACGAUACCUGGUGGUGGAAUGAUGAUGUCCAGAAGGUGCUUAAAGAGAAGAAAGAUUGCUUCAGACGCCUAUACCUGGAUAGGAGUGCAGACAACAUAGAGAAGUACAAGAUGGCGAAGAAGGCCGCAAAGCGAGCUGUUGGUGAAGCAAGGGGUCGGGCAUAUGAGGACCUCUACCAACGGUUAGGCACGAAGGAAGGUGAAAGGGACAUCUAUAAGAUGGCUAAGAUCCGGGAGAGGAAGACGAGAGAUAUUGGCCAAGUCAAAUGCAUCAAGGACGGAGCAGGCCAACUCUUGGUGAAGGACGAAGAGAUUAAGCAUAGAUGGCGGGAGUACUUCGACAAGCUGUUCAAUGGGGAGAAUGAGAGUUCUACCAUUGAACUGAAUGACUCCUUUGAUGAGACCAGCAUGCGUUUUGUGCGGCGCAUCCAGGAGUCUGAGGUGAAGGAGGCUUUAAAAAGGAUGAAAGGAGGCAAGGCGAUGGGCCCUAAUUGUAUCCCCAUUGAGGUGUGGAAAGGUCUCGGGGACGUAGCGAUAGUAUGGCUAACCAAGCUUUUCAACCUCAUUUUUCGGGCAAACAAGAUGCCAGAAGAAUGGAGACGGAGUAUAUUAGUACCAAUCUUCAAGAACAAGGGGGAUGUUCAGAGUUGUACUAAUUACCGUGGAAUUAAGCUGAUGAGCCAUACAAUGAAGCUAUGGGAGAGAGUCAUUGAGCACCGCUUAAGAAGAAUGACAAGCGUGACCAAAAAUCAGUUUGGUUUCAUGCCUGGGAGGUCGACCAUGGAAGCCAUUUUCUUGGUACGACAACUUAUGGAGAGAUAUAGGGAGCAUAAGAAGGACUUGCAUAUGGUGUUCAUUGACUUGGAGAAGGCCUAUGAUAAGAUACCGCGGAAUGUCAUGUGGUGGGCCUUGGAGAAACACAAAGUCCCAGCAAAGUACAUUACCCUCAUCAAGGACAUGUACAAUAAUGUUGUGACAAGUGUUCGAACAAGUGAUGUCGACACCGAUGACUUCCCGAUUAAGAUAGGACUGCAUUAG